rnacentral:lncRNA from 1 species
CUGGAGGCUGUCCGUCAGCUCAAACUCCCACUAUUCCACUGUGUGCCACCAAUUUCACUUAUUUGUCUCCUUUGGGACAGAGCUACAGGUAGGAGAAGAAAAGCCCUAAAUGUCACGUUGGACUCAUUUAACAAGUUUGCAAGAAAGCAUGACAAGCACAUUGGCAACUCUGCUACUUCCUGAAGGCGCUGGGAAGUAGAUGGUGGGAGAUCCAUCCUGCAUCUUCCGCAUCCAGUCAGCCCAAGGAGGAACCUAGGUCUCAUCCAGAGGACCACCCUGGACUGGCACUUCCUUUCUCUUGAAAGAGAAGCCAAGAGGAGUGAUGCUCUGGGCAAAUGGCUUCAGCUGCUGCCCAGCAACAGCCGGUUCAUCAAAGCCUUUGAGAGUAGCUUUGAAAAUGUGUCAGCCAAUAGGCGGGCAGGACUGGCCCAGCAGCUGAGGGACCCCUCCCCCUCGCUGGAGCCAAGGAUGGGGAAGGAGCAGAUGGAGGCCUCGCUCCCCUUGGCUGGCUCUCAGGGCACAUUGUCCCACACUCAGGACUCAGAAACUGAGACCAAGGCAGACCGUUCACAGGCUUUUGCUCUUGGCCCAAAGCUCCGGAAGGAAGGAAUCUUAUAAGCCCCUGUGCAGUGUCCUUCGUGGGGCUGAGGCGCUGGAUCUUAACCAGGGCAGGCACCCUGUAAGGGUUUGUCUCCUAUUAAAUUUGCCUCGAGUCUUCUCACGUGUCAUUAAUCAAGCAGCUGAACCGUCACUGCGGAAGCAUGGCAUCUAUUAUGGUCUCUGAGGGAUCCCUUUCUCUAGAUUCCAGACCUUUUGGCUCCUGGAAGAGAGACAUCCAUCCUGCCAGGAAGGCCCAAGCCUGCAGCACGUUGCAGGCUGCUCAAGAGACUUUCCCUGCAGCCCCAUUGCAAUCCCCAGAGUUCUGUGAAUCCCCCCGCAUUCCUAAGGUCCCUGCAGCAACAAAGCCAGCCGACUUUGGGGAGCCACUGCACAGGGAGAGGAGCCUCCAACAGGGAUCUAUAUGGGAGUUCCUGAGAACACAGCCAUAUGGUGUGUGUCUAGCCUGUUUUGUAAAAUGUGUUCCACUUUCUCUGUAGCAAGCACCAAUCCCCAGAGGCUGAGUUAGGAAAGUUCUCAGGCCUGCUUCCCUUGUCCCCCCUGCCACUGAGGCCCGUGUCUCCAAGCUAAUCUUUGCUCCCUGGGAGAUGGGAGGAGCCAUCUGUCUGCAGAAGUCCACCUCCUGCUUCCAUGGCAUCCCCAGCCGCACACGCUGUGAAAUCUCCUCCUUUGAUUUCUAAAUAGCGAGCCUUGCUGAGAAACACCCAUUCAGCCGGAGUUCCCCUUUCAAUAUCUUUAAUCCCAGAUGGAAUACAUAAAGUGAAUAAGGCUGUCUCUAUACUGAUAUGAAAAACUCUCUGGCCCAGCGAUGGAGGAUCGCAGGGUGAUGAAAAUACAGCAGGAGGAGAGGCUGCUUUUAAUAUGAAAAGAUGAAUCAAAAUGCACAAAUCAUAACUGCCUCUCUGCAAUAACCUAGCUUCUGCCUUAACCUUUUCAGGAUCAUAAAAAAUAGUCUACUCUCAUUUAAAUAAAUAGUUUAUGUCUCUCUGGGCUCUCUUUUUUGCAGACAUACAGUAAGUCUCUGAGCACUACAUAGACGAUCUGAAUAUAUGUAACCACACAGUCGUUACAGAGACGUGUGCACACAGCCACACACACCUUGUUCUAAUUCCUUUUGUUCUAAUUUCUGCAGUAAAUUCUGUGCUUAUGAAGCAAGAAUUAUUUCAGAAUUAAACAAAAUAAAGAGAAGCAUCUG